GCGUCGUUAGCUCAGUUGGUAGAGCAAGGGAUUCUUAAUCCCUGGGUCCUAGGUUCGAAUCCUAGACGACGCAC
rnacentral:tRNA from 1 species